GAGAACUGUGGGGACACAGAGACAAAGGACGAGCCGGGAAUGGAAAAACCGGUGCAAGCGAGGUAGCUUCAUGGGAGGGAAAGCCCCCAUGUAUAAGGCGAAUGCGUGAAGCGUAGCGAACUUAAAAGUAGCGAAGCGUGUGGAGUCACUGUCAGGAAAAGCCGCUAUUGCGUAUCAUGAACCCGUACCGUAAACCGACACAGGUGGAUGAGGAGAGAAUCCUAAGGCCGACGGAAGAAGCAUUGUUAAGGAAUUCGGCAAAAUGACCCCGUAACUUCGGGAGAAGGGGUGCCUACGAAUGUAGGCCGCAGAGAAUUGGCCCAAGCAACUGUUUAGCAAAAACACAGGUUUAUGCGAAACCGAAAGGUGAAGUAUAUGAGCUGACGCCUGCCCGGUGCUGGAAGGUUAAGGGGAGAGCUUAGAGGCAACUCGAAGGUUCGAACUUAAGCCCCAGUAAACGGCGGCCGUAACAAUAACGGUCCUAAGGUAGCGAAAUUCCUUGUCGGGUAAGUUCCGACCCGCACGAAAGGCGUAAUGAUUUGGGCACUGUCUCGACAAUGCAUCCGGUGAAAUUGAAAUACCAGUGAAGAUGCUGGUUACCCGCGCCAGGACGGAAAGACCCCAUGGAGCUUUACUCCAGUUUGAUGCUGGGAUUCGGUACUGCAUGUACAGGAUAGGCGGGAGACUAGGAAGAUAUAACGCCAGUUGUAUCAGAGUCGCUGUUGGGAUACCGCCCUUGUAGUACUGGGUUUCUAACCUGCCACCGUGAACCGGUGGAGGGACAACGUCAGGCGGGGAGUUUGACUGGGGCGGUCGCCUCCGAAAGGGUAUCGGAGGCGCUCAAAGGUUCCCUCAGAAUGGUUGGAAACCAUUCGAAGAGUGCAAAGGCAGAAGGGAGCUUGACUGCGAGGUCGACGGACCGAGCAGGUACGAAAGUAGGACUUAGUGAUCCGGUGGUAGAAAGUGGGAUUGCCAUCGCUCAACGGAUAAAAGCUACCCUGGGAUAACAGGCUAAUCACUCCCAAGAGUUCACAUCGACGGAGUGGUUUGGCACCUCGAUGUCGGCUCAUCGCAUCCUGGGGCUGUAGCAGGUCCCAAGGGUUGGGCUGUUCGCCCAUUAAAGCGGUACGCGAGCUGGGUUCAGAACGUCGUGAGACAGUUCGGUCCCUAUCCGGCGCGGGCGUAGGAUAUCUGAAAGGAGCUAGCCUUAGUACGAGAGGACCGGGCUGGACGGACCGCUGGUGUAUCUGUUGUCAUACCAAUGGCAUAGCAGGGUAGCCAAGUCUGGAAGGGAUAAACGCUGAAGGCAUCUAAGCGUGAAGCCCCCCUUAAGAUAAGAUAUCCCUGGAGUUAAUCCAGUAAGACCCCUUGAAGACGACGAGGUAGAUAGGGCAGAGGUGGAAGUGUGGUAACACAUGGAGCUGACUGUCACUAAUAGGUCGAGGGCUUGACCU
rnacentral:rRNA from 1 species